rnacentral:rRNA from 1 species
AUACGUAGGGGGCGAGCGUUGUCCGGAAUGAUUGGGCGUAAAGGGCGCGUAGGCGGCCCGGUAAGUCUGGAGUGAAAGUCCUGUUUUUAAGACGGAAUUGCUUUGGAUACUGUCGGGCUUGAGUGCAGGAGAGGUAAGUGGAAUUCCCAGUGUAGCGGUGAAAUGCGUAGAGAUUGGGAGGAACACCAGUGGCGAAGGCGACUUACUGGACUGUAACUGACGCUGAGGCGCGAAAGUGUGGGGAGCAAACAGGAUUAGAUACCCUGGUAGUCCACACUGUAAACGAUGAAUGCUAGGUGUAGGGGGUAUCGACCCCUUCUGUGCCGCAGUCAACACAAUAAGCAUUCCGCCUGGGGAGUACGGCCGCAAGGUUGAAACUCAAAUGAAUUGACGGGG